CUCUUCUAUAAUGAAGAUUGACCACUAUUUGCUAAUAUAAUUGUAUCAUUGUCAGAUUCUAUAUGUUGACAAUCAUUUGAUCAGAUAAGGGAACAUCUUUACGCGCAAGUCUUCUUAUGAUUCAGACCCCUCACCCUUCAUCUGUAGCAUCCAAGCUAGGAAGGAUCUAGGGAGCUAGCAGGCGCAGCUCCUUCAAAAUCAUUUAAAUCAUUUAUAGUUUAUAAUAUUUUA
rnacentral:lncRNA from 1 species